rnacentral:rRNA from 1 species
CCUACGGGAGGCAGCAGUGGGGAAUAUUGCACAAUGGGGGAAACCCUGAUGCAGCGACGCCGCGUGAGCGAUGAAGUAUUUCGGUAUGUAAAGCUCUAUCAGCAGGGAAGAAAAUGACGGUACCUGACUAAGAAGCCCCGGCUAACUACGUGCCAGCAGCCGCGGUAAUACGUAGGGGGCAAGCGUUAUCCGGAUUUACUGGGUGGAAAGGGAGCGUAGACGGUCCUGCAAGCCAGAUGUGAAAGCCCGGGGCUCAACCCCGGGACUGCAUUUGGAACUGUAAGGCUAGAGUGUCGGAGAGGCAGGCGGAAUUCCUAGUGUAGCGGUGAAAUGCGUAGAUAUUAGGAGGAACACCAGUGGCGAAGGCGGCCUGCUGGACGAUGACUGACGUUGAGGCUCGAAAGCGUGGGGAGCAAACAGGAUUAGAUACCCCGGUAGUC